CAGCCGCCGCGGGAACACGUAGGUGGCAAGCGUUAUCCGGAAUUAUUGGGCGUAAAGCGCGCGUAGGCGGUUUUUUAAGUCUGAUGUGAAAGCCCACGGCUCAACCGUGGAGGGUCAUUGGAAACUGGAAAACUUGAGUGCAGAAGAGGAAAGUGGAAUUCCAUGUGUAGCGGUGAAAUGCGCAGAGAUAUGGAGGAACACCAGUGGCGAAGGCGACUUUCUGGUCUGUAACUGACGCUGAUGUGCGAAAGCGUGGGGAUCAAACAGGAUUAGAGACCCCCGUAGUCCCUGUCUCUUAUAU
rnacentral:rRNA from 1 species